CAUUAAAGAAUACAUGGCCUUCGGGUCCUAUUCUCACCCUUUGUUUACCAAAACUCUUGUUGCCUUGGCGCAUUCGUGCGCCAAAGGAAUCAAACCCUUGAAUCUCUGCUGUCUGAGUACUAUAUAAUAGUUAAAACUUUCAACAACGGAUCUCUUGGUUCUGGCAUCGAUGAAGAACGCAGCGAAAUGCGAUAAGUAAUGUGAAUUGCAGAAUUCAGUGAAUCAUCGAAUCUUUGAACGCACAUUGCGCCUCCUGGUAUUCCGGGAGGCAUGCCUGUUCGAGCGUCAUUACAACCCUCAAGCUCUGCUUGGUAUUGGGCUCGCCUCCUUUGGCCAUGCCUCAAAAUCAGUGGCGGCACAGUCCGAUCCUCAAGCGCAGUAAUACACGACGCUUCRGUGGUGACAGUGUGACUGCUCCAGAAACCCCCCACAAAUUAAAGGUUGAC
rnacentral:rRNA from 1 species